GUAUCUCGAGUUCUCGGUCCAGCAGUUUCUGUCCGGUCAGUUUCAUUGGGAAGUCAGUCCGGGGAAGGAGCACCGUGUCUCGGUACAGGCCCUGAGCAGAGCCCGUCUCUGCGGGCUGAGCGCUGCCGUCCCCCGCACCGACACCCUGCCAGCGGCUGGAGCUGAAGGAGAGAGCCCGGUGGAGGAGGCCGCCUCCCCGGUGUGACCUCCGUCCCCAUCUCGCUAGCGUCUGGCUCACUGCCGAAACUCGGCACAGCAGCAUGGAGAGACGAGGUAGCAGUGCGGCCAAGCAACACCACGAAAGCUCAAAAUUGUUGGGCUGUUUGUGAGUUUUGACAGUGUGAACUUCUCGUGUUGUUAUAUCGCGCCCUUCUUGCAACGCUGUGUUUCUCGGGAAGAAAUUGAAGAAGGGACAACUACGGAAACCCAGCUGGGUCAAUAGUAAACCAAUCAGUGGCGAUUUGCACGUCUUAUAAUGUCACUGAUUCUGCAAGCCUCAGAUCUUGCGACCGGGAGUUCCAAAGCUGAGAGGCCCCUAAUGCAAAUUUCUGCUCACACUAAUUAUGUAGCAUACUCAUAACAAACACUGCUGUCUGUUUAGAUUGUUUAUUAUUUUGGUAGUCUAUAGCCUAUUAUCAAUUCCGACUUGACACUUGCGGAGUUGACAUGUUUAUUGACAAUAUUUAGUUUUCUCACUGCCUGCAAGUGGUCACAAUGAGUAAUUACAAUUUAAGCCACAGUUGCAGAUGUUUUCAUUUGCUUAUGAAUAAAUGUGGAGCUAAUGUUCCGCUGUGAUUUAAAAAGUGUUUUAAAAACAUGUUGCUCUCUAGUCUUGGCAGGCUUCUGAUGAACAGAUGCCUUCCUCAAUAUGAAUAAAGUAGAAAGUAGUUCAUGUGCCCUAAGCGUGAAGUCAAUAUUUCCGCCACCUGGACGCCUUGUGCUGCAGCAGGUGCAGAUGAUCGGCUGAUGAUGUCACCUGGGGUAUAAAACGCACGGCUGCUUGUCCCGUUUCAUUCACUCCUUCAUCACCCAGAGGACUAGAACAGAGCAACGAGCCAGCCUUUCUGCGCGCCAAGAUGAAUACGAUGUAUCUAGUUAACCUGGGCGUUCUCCUGCUGGCUGUGUGUCUCAUGUCAUUACAGGUGGCCCAGGCCAGUAACUCUACAAACACGACCACUAACGGCUGCGGUAGGACCGACGCCUGCGCCCUUCUUCUUCCGCUGGCACUUGCCGCCUCUGUCCUCUACGGCUGGUCCUAAUGACCGGACUGAUGGCUCCUGACACACACCGCCAAUACGGCUGGACUAGCUCACAAAUUUAAAAAUCCUUACCCCGAAAACACACUUCUGGAUUUCCUGCAUCUUCUAUUAAAUUUGCUCCUUUCUCGUGUGAGUGUCCGGACUUAAACGCACCAACCGGGGACGCGCACUGUAGUCCGGUCUCUCUGCUGAGGCGCUCUACGGGAGAUGGCGUCUACAACUGGCUUGCCCACUGAAUCUGCUUAUGAGACUACCAGCCAUCAUUGACCCUGAAGUGAUUGUAAACAAUUUAGAAACGUUUUGUAUUCUGAAAAUGUGACUUGGUGCUUUUGAUCUUGAAUGUGUAAUAAAGCUUUAGUGACAAAAUA